GACGAACGCUGGCGGCGUGCUUAACACAUGCAAGUCGAACGGAAAGGCCCUGCUUGCAGGGUGCUCGAGUGGCGAACGGGUGAGCAACACGUGGGUGAUCUGCCCCUUAUUUUGGGAUAAGCCUGGGAAACUGGGUCUAAUACUGGAUAGGACCAUGCUGUAGGUGGUGUGGUGGAAAGAUUAGUUUCGGUAAGGGAUGAGCUCGCGGCCUAUCAGCUUGUUGGUGGGGUAAUGGCCUACCAAGGCGUCGACGGGUAGCCGGCCUGAGAGGGUGGACGGCCACAUUGGGACUGAGAUACGGCCCAGACUCCUACGGGAGGCAGCAGUGGGGAAUAUUGCACAAUGGGCGCAAGCCUGAUGCAGCGACGCCGCGUGGGGGAUGACGGCCUUCGGGUUGUAAACUCCUUUCAGCCAUGACGAAGCCCUUGUGGUGACGGUAGUGGUAGAAGAAGCACCGGCUAACUACGUG
rnacentral:rRNA from 1 species